CAAUUGGCUCAGAUUGAACGCUGGCGGCAUGCUUUACACCUGCAAGUCGAACGGUAACAGGGACUUCGGUCCGCUGACGAGUGGCGAACGGGUGAGUAAUACAUAUAAACCUGCCUAUUAGUGGGGGAUAGCCCGGCGAAAGCCGGAUUAAUACCGCAUCCGCCCUGAGGGGGAAAGUGGGGGAUCGCAAGACCUCAUGCUAUUAGAGCGGCCGAUGGCUGAUUAGCUAGUUGGUAGGGUAAAGGCCUACCAAGGCGACGAUCAGUAGCGGGUCUGAGACGACGACCCUGCUCACUGGGACUGAGACACGGCCCAGACUCCUACGGGAGGCAGCAGUGGGGAAUCUUGGACAAUGGGCGCAAGCCUGAUCCAGCAAUGCCGCGUGGGUGAGGAAGGCCUUCGGGUUGUAAAGCCCUUUUGUCAGGGAGCAAAUCCUUGGAGCUAAUAUCUCCUGGGGAUGAGAGUACCUGAACAAUAAGGACCGGCUCCCUACAUGUCCGCGCCCGCGGUAAUACGUAGGGUCCAAGCGUUAAUCGGAAUUACUGGGCGUAAAGCGUGCGCAGGUGUCUUGGUUGGAGCGAUGUGAAAUCCCCGGGCUCAACCUGGGAACUGCAUUGCUGACUGGCUCGCUAGAGUGCGGCAGAGGGGGGUGGAAUUCCACGUGUAGCAGUGAAAUGCGUAGAGAUGUGGAGGAACACCGAUGGCGAAGGCAACCCCCUGGGC
rnacentral:rRNA from 1 species